CAAUAGCGUAUAUUAAAGUUGUUGCAGUUAAAAAGCUCGUAGUUGGAUUUCUGUGAGAGUGCCGGUGUCGGCUGAUGCUUGUACGCAGGCGCUCUUACAUCCUUCUGUUAACUGAUCUUGGCAUUUUAUUGCUGGUUCAGGGCUCAGAUAUUUUACCUUGAGAAAAUUAGAGUGUUUCAGGCAGGCUUAUGCCGGAAUACAUUAGCAUGGAAUAAUGGAACAGGACCUGUGCGUCUUUCGGGGCGCCGGUCUCCGUUAUUGGUUUCGGGGACUAAAGUAAUGAUUAAUAGGGAUAGUUGGGGGCAUUAGUAUUUAAUAGUCAGAGGUGAAAUUCUCGGAUUUGUUAAAGACUAACUUAUGCGAAAGCAUUUGCCAAGGAUAUUUUCAUUAA
rnacentral:rRNA from 1 species